rnacentral:rRNA from 1 species
UACGUAGGGGGCAAGCGUUGUCCGGAAUCAUUGGGCGUAAAGAGCGUGUAGGCGGCUUGGCAAGUCUGGUGUGAAAUCUUGCGGCUCAACCGCAAGCGGUCACUGGAAACUGCCUCGCUAGAGUCCGGAAGAGGAGAGCGGAAUUCCUGGUGUAGCGGUGGAAUGCGCAGAUAUCAGGAAGAACACCCGUGGCGAAGGCGGCUCUCUGGGACGGUACUGACGCUGAGACGCGAAAGCGUGGGGAGCAAACAGG